rnacentral:rRNA from 1 species
GACGAACGCUGGCGGCGUGCCUAAUACAUGCAAGUCGAACGCUGAAGGAGGAGCUUGCUUCUCUGGAUGAGUUGCGAACGGGUGAGUAACGCGUAGGUAACCUGCCUGGUAGCGGGGGAUAACUAUUGGAAACGAUAGCUAAUACCGCAUAAGAGUAGAUGUUGCAUGACAUUUGCUUAAAAGGUGCAGUUGCAUCACUACCAGAUGGACCUGCGUUGUAUUAGCUAGUUGGUGAGGUAACGGCUCACCAAGGCGACGAUACAUAGCCGACCGGAGAGGGGGGGCGGCCACACUGGGACUGAGACAAGGCCCAGAGGACUUCGGGAGGCAGCAGGAGGGAAUCGUCGGCAAGGGGCGGAAGUCAGACCGAGCAAGGCCGAGUGAGGGAAGAAGGGUGUCGGAUCGGAAAGCACGGUUGUCAGAGAAGAACGAGUGUGAGAGUGGAAAGUUCACACUGUGACGGUAUCUGACCAGAAAGCGACGGCUAACUACGUG